CGCGUAGGCGGCCAACUAAGUCUGGAGUGAAAGUCCUGCUUUUAAGGUGGGAAUUGCUUUGGAAACUGGAUGGCUUGAGUGCAGGAGAGGUAAGCGGAAUUCCCGGUGUAGCGGUGAAAUGCGUAGAGAUCGGGAGGAACACCAGUGGCGAAGGCGGCUUACUGGACUGUAACUGACGCUGAGGCGCGAAAGUGUGGGGAAGCAAACA
rnacentral:rRNA from 1 species